CGGGGCGUGGCGCAGUGGUAGCGCACCCCCUUUGGGAGCGGGGGGUCGCAAGUUCGAGCCUUGCCGCCCCGACCA
rnacentral:tRNA from 1 species